CCCCGCGGGGAGCGCCCGGGCGGCGGCCGGCGCAAGGGAAAGCGCCCCCGCUCCGCAGAAGCGCCGAACUUACUGCGGGCAGCCCGGCAACUUUCUGCUCCCCGGGCUUCCACUUUCGCGAUCCGCCUGCCCACCUCCCUUCGCUGCGCUCCUUCCUGCGGCCCGCUGCCGCUGCCCGGCCCGCAGCGAUGUCCGCGGAGUUGGGUGCGGGCGCAGCCGGGCGAUCACCGCGUCCCCUCGCACAUGUCCCGGGCGCCUUUGCUGCCGCGGCUGUCUCCGGGGAUUCUCCGCUCCUCCGACGGGUCGCAGCUCCUCACUUUCUUGCCGGGAGGUGGAGAUUGGUUUAUCCGAGCGCGGAAUAAAGGAGGAGGAGGGGGAGGAAAUAUCUAAGCCAUUGAAGAGGGGGCCCUGAGAAAUCCCCCCCUCCUCGCCGCCCUCUGGUCCGGGUUUGCAAUAGGUCGGCUCCGCCGCGCCGUGCCGAGCGGGGCUGGAGUGUGCGUGGUGUCUGUGCCGGCUCCGCUCCCCCCGCCUCGCCAGCUCCUGGGGCCGCAGCAGCUGGGGCUUUUGGGGGCGGCUGAAUCAGAGGAUAAAAUAAAGUAAAAAAAAAAAAAAAAAAAAAAAAAAAAGCUAAACCCAAGAAGAAGAAAAAAAACCUGUGCAGGAUCCGCCUCGCAUACGACAUCCACUUUGCAUGAGAAAGGUGAAGCUGACACGGUGAUUACUUUCCAAUCACUCGGAACGCCUUGAAACCUCCUUAAGGACCCCUACAGGUUCUCCUUGAUCGGCACAGAUUAGAAAAAGCCCCAUUUGUUUCUCUCUCCUUCUCUCUUUCCUUCCUUUCUGCUUUCCCUCCCGUUGCCCUCUGUUGAAAGUUUAACAAGAUCUUUUCUGUAGAAGGCGUCAGCCUGCCCUCCCUCGCUCAGGACCAUCUACACGUAUCAGCCAUUCAACGAGCCUGAGUCAGGGAGAGUAACAAACAGAACACUAUUGGAGAAAAAUGAGAGCGCUGAGAAAUCAGCAACUGGAAGAUACCUCUGUAACUAAUAAAUGAAAAGAACCUUU